UUUGGAAUGUAGAAUCUGAAAGUCUGGGACCGAUUCAUGAAGCUAUUUGUACACUCGAAAAUAUUGGAACCAACUAGAAAAUAUCCGAAGGUUAGAGGACUUGUGUUGCAAAACAUAAGAAAUCGCCAUUGUUGCCCGAUCUCUUCUGUAACGAGACAGAGACAGGAGGAUGAGCACGACGGCUAGGCUUGAAUCUGAGCAUGAAGACUUCGGCAGAGAAAGACGACGGAGAUGGUCUAGUUACUCGAGACAGACGCGUCGAUUUACGGUGGAGAAAAGGAAGCUUGAGGCAGAGACGUUCGUGGUGGUUCCGUCUUCAGUCGACGGCGGAGAUGAACAAGGAAAACGAAACAGGUCCAUGGCAUGGUUCGAGCUGGUCAUGGACGACGGAGCAAGACAGAGCUGAAAGAGUGAAGCAUGAAGCGGUCAGGUUUAGCAAAAAGAUCAAAAUUUGAUCUUAUCUGAAAUAAGAAAACGAAAACCAGAGAAGAAAACUCACCAGAAACCCAUAACAAACUUUUUUAAAAAAUUUGCUCACAUUUCUUUUUUUUUUUGGAAAUUGGUAGCAGAUACGAGAUUGGAGGGACAUACUGAUAAAAGUCGUCUUUAGUUGUUGGUUUAAUUAAAGUCUAAAGUUUCUGGAUUCGAGAGAGAGAAAGAGGAAACGAAGAAAAGUUUCCA
rnacentral:lncRNA from 1 species